GCCAGUUGCCCUGGUGGCACCUGUUGUCCCAGCUUCCCAGGAGGCUGAGGCGGGAGGAUCUCUUGAGCCCAGGAGUUCCUGGCUGUAGUGUAGUGUGCGACGUUAAUCAGGUGUCUGCACUAAGUUUGGCAUCAGUAUGGUGACCUCUUGGGAGCUUGAAGAGGAGCCAGCUGGCCCAGGUCAGAAAUGGAGCAGGUCAAAACUCCUGUGCUGAUCUGUAUAGCAUCGUGCCAGUGAAUAGCCACGGCACUCCAGCCUGGGCAACAUAGCAAGACCCUGUCUCU
rnacentral:SRP_RNA from 1 species